CCUACGGGGGGCAGCAGUGGGGAAUAUUGGACAAUGGGGGCAACCCUGAUCCAGCCAUGCCGCGUGUGUGAAGAAGGCCCUCGGGUUGUAAAGCACUUUCAGUGAGGAAGAACGCCUGGUGGUUAAUACCCAUCAGGAAAGACAUCACUCACAGAAGAAGCACCGGCUAACUCCGUGCCAGCAGCCGCGGUAAUACGGAGGGUGCGAGCGUUAAUCGGAAUUACUGGGCGUAAAGCGCGCGUAGGUGGCUUGAUAAGCCGGUUGUGAAAGCCCCGGGCUCAACCUGGGAACGGCAUCCGGAACUGUCAAGCUAGAGUGCAGGAGAGGAAGGUAGAAUUCCCGGUGUAGCGGUGAAAUGCGUAGAGAUCGGGAGGAAUACCAGUGGCGAAGGCGGCCUUCUGGACUGACACUGACACUGAGGUGCGAAAGUGUGGGUAGCAAACAGGAUUAGAUACCCUAGUAGUC
rnacentral:rRNA from 1 species